rnacentral:rRNA from 1 species
AAUCAACGCUGGCGGCGUGCCUCAGACAUGCAAGUCGAACGAUUAAAGCUCUCUUCGGAGAGUGUAUAGAGUGGCGCACGGGUGAGUAACACGUAAGUAAUCUACCUUUGAGUGGGGAAUAACAGUCGGAAACGACUGCUAAUACCGCAUAAUGCAGCGGCAUCGCAAGAUGACAGUUGUUAAAGGAGCAAUCCGCUUAAAGAGGAGCUUGCGGCAGAUUAGCUUGUUGGUAAGGUAACGGCUUACCAAGGCUACGAUCUGUAUCCGGUCUAAGAGGACGGUCAGACACACUGACACUGAAUAACGGGUC